AUUGAACGCUGGCGGCAGGCCUAACACAUGCAAGUCGAGCGAGCGUCGGACGGGUGAGUAAUGUAUGGGGACUGCCCGCUAGAGGGGGAUAACUACUCGAAACGCUAGCUAAUACCGCAUACUAUCGGAUAACCCAUAUGGGAUUAGCUAGUAGGUGAGGUAAUGGCUCACCUUGGCGACGAUACCUAGCUGGUCUGAGAGGAUGAUCAGACACACUGGGAAUGAGACACUGCCCAUACUCCUACGGAGGAAGCAGUGGGGAAUAUUGCAGAAGGGGCGCAAGCCGGAUGCAGCCAUGCAGCGUGUAUGAAGAAGGCCCUAGGGUUGUAAAGUACUUUCAGUGGGGAGGCGUUACCAACAGAAGAAGCACCGGCUAACUCCGUGCCAGCAGCCGCGGUAAUUC
rnacentral:rRNA from 1 species